UACAGAGGGUGCAAGCGUUAAUCGGAAUUACUGGGCGUAAAGCGUGCGUAGGUGGUUUACUAAGUCAGGUGUGAAAUCCCCGGGCUCAACCUGGGAACUGCGCUUGAUACUGGUAAACUAGAGUUUAGUAGAGGGAAGUGGAAUUCCACGUGUAGCGGUGAAAUGCGUAGAUAUGCGGAGGAACACCGAUGGCGAAGGCAAUCCCCUGGGCCUGCACUGACGCUCAUGCACGAAAGCGUGGGGAGCAAACAGG
rnacentral:rRNA from 1 species